rnacentral:rRNA from 1 species
UACGUGAGGUGGCAAGCGUUGUCCGGAUUUAUUGGGACGUAAGCGCGCGCAGGCGGUUCGAAAGUCCAUGGAUGAAAGCGGCCUGCCUCAACUGGCGAGUGCGUGGGACUGUCGAGCUGGAGGGAAGCAGAGGCGAGUGGAAUUCGGGUGUAGUGGUGAAAAUGCGUAGAGAUCCGGAGGAACACCAGUGGCGAAGGCGGCUCGCUGGGCUUUACCUGACGCUGAGGCGCGAAAGCG